rnacentral:rRNA from 1 species
GAUGAACGCUGGCGGCGUGCCUAAUACAUGCAAGUCGAGCGAACAGACGAGGAGCUUGCUCCUCUGACGUUAGCGGCGGACGGGUGAGUAACACGUGGAUAACCUACCUAUAAGACUGGGAUAACUUCGUGAAACCGGUGCUAAUACCGGAUAAUAUAUUGAACCGCAUGGUUCAAUAGUGAAAGACGGUUUUGCUGUCACUUAUAGAUGGAUCCGCGGCGCUUUAGCUGGUUGGUAAGGUAACGGCUUACCAAGGCGACAAUGCGUGGCCGACCCGAUAGGGUGUACGGCGACUGUGGAAGUGAGACACGGUACAGACUCCGAGGGGAGGCAGAGAUAGCGAAUCGUGCGAAAUGGGCGGAAGCUUGAAGGAGCAACGCAGGGCGAGUGAUGAAGGUCUGCGGGUCGUAAAACUCUGUUAUGGGUGAAGAACAAGUGUGUAAGUAACGAAGCACGUGUUGACGGUACCUGCUCAGAAAGCCACGGCUAACUACGUG